GGGUGAGUCGUCCCCUAAGGCGAGGCCGAAAGGCGUAGUCGAUGGGAAACAGGUUAAUAUUCCUGUACUUGGUGUUACUGCGAAGGGGGGACGGAGAAGGUUAUGUUGGCCGGGCGCCGGUUGUCUUGGUUUAAGCGUGUAGGCUGGUUUUCCAGGCAAAUCCGGAAAACUAAGGCUGAGGCGUGAUGACGAGGCACUACGUUGCUGACGCGACAAAUCCCCUGCUUCCAGGAAAAGUCUCUAGGCAUCAGGUAACAUCAAAUCGUACCCGAAAGCGACUCAGGUGGUCAGGUAGAGAAUACCAAAGCGCUGGAGAGAACUCGGGUGAAGGGACUAGGCAAAAUGGUGACGUAUCUUCGGGAGAAGGCACGUUGAUAUGUUGGGGAAACGACUUGCU
rnacentral:rRNA from 1 species